rnacentral:tRNA from 1 species
GGCGACGUGGCCGAGUGGUCAGGCAGAGGUCUGCAAAACCUCGUACGGCGGUUCGAAUCCGCCCGUCGCCU